rnacentral:lncRNA from 1 species
GGAGGACUGAGCGCUUAAUCUGUGGGAUCUGACGCUAUCUCCAGGUGGAUGUUGUCAGAAUUGAAUUAUAGGACACUCACCUGGUGUGAUGGAGAACUGCUUGCUGUGGGGAAAAAGCCACACGCAUUUGGUGACCAGAAGUGAAGGGUUCUAUGUGAGAAGUAAAGAAAACACACAGGUGGAAAACUGAGUUUUUCUAAAAUACUAAGUAAUUCACAAAUUUAAAAGAAAUACCAAAAAGACUUUUCCCCUGAAAAUUCCCAUGAGUGGAGCUCUGGUAACAAAACUAUGAGGAGCCACAUCAAAGUUAUAUGUUUGGAUACAUAGGAAGUUAAUCACAAUGGUUGCCUGGAAGGAGGAGAAUUCAGUAGCUGGGGGGCAAGAAUAAGAGGAAGAUCAGCCCUGAGCCAGUCCUCCUCUUUUUGCUGAGGAAGACUGGCCCUGAGCUAACAUCCAUGCCCAUCUUCCUCUACUUUAUAUGUGAGAUGCCUACCACAGCAUGGCUUGCCAAGCGGUGCCAUGUCUGCACCCAAGAUCCGAACCGGCAAACCCUGGGCCACCGAGAAGGGGAACAUUCGAGCUUAACCACUGUGCCACCGGGCCGGCCCCCACUUAUUUUUUAAGCACGUUUAUUUAAAUUCUGAAUUUGUUUCACAGGGAACACGUCUUACUUUUGUAACCAGAAAAAAAAUAACAAAGGCUGUUGUUUGUGUCUUUCUUUUUUUUCCUGGAACAAUGGCCAUUCAAGAAUCCCAAAAGGAACUUCCAGGGGUUACUAAUGAAGCCGAGCAGAGAAGGAGAGAGCAUCCUUCCUCACUGGCUGCCUGGGAAGGGGGAUUGACUGCAAACGGGCACUGGGAUCUUUGCGGGGGGUGGUAAGAAAUGGUCUACAAUCCAAUUGUGGUUAUGGUUGCACAACUCUGUAAAUUUGCUAAAACUCAUUGCAUUAU